ensembl:lncRNA
UUUUAGAAAUCAAUGAUUAUGACAUGAGAUAAUAACUGAACACAGGUCAAAAUGUAUGUUUUUGACCACCAACUGAAAGUUGCAAUAAUGAACUAUGACCUCAAGCUGCUCUCUCACUCUGAUGUGUGAGGGUGAUCACUAUAAUAAUAGGAAGUACAUCCACAGCCUAAUAUUACAUGUUCCUGUGUGUAUGCCCUAGCAUGGAAAUAUGGUCAGAGAGAGGGUGACGGACAAAGAUUUGGCGUUAGAGCAAAAAAGAUGAUACUAGAGCUCUCCAAAACCGGAGUAGAGUGUAGGGCAGGGCUAGGCAACGCUUGAAGGAUGUGGGAGGAGAUUAAGGUUGAUUGGCGUGAGCUGGACCUUGAUGAGGGGACGGCUGUUAACCUAAUCACUCUAUUUAACUCGGCUUAGCGCCUGUCGAUUCUAGCCUGUAAUUGAUUUAAUUCACAGUGGAAACCGUUCCUAACACAAUUUUAAUUCCUCUUGUUCUACAACUUUGCAAUUACCUGGUUUGCCAUCGCACAGUAACAUGUCUUAAGGAUUGAUCUACCUCCGACACACAAGCCUCCUCCUCCCUACACAGAGAGACCGUCAGUCAUCCCUCUGGUUGUCCACACACCACAGGUGGCCUCCCUUUCACAGGCUCACAGGGCUGUGCGGCAGUUUGAGAUGGCAGAGAGAACACCUGCCAGGCUCACACCCCGGGAACCCCGAAGCCCCUCCCACCAGCCUCUGUCCUAUCAGGAGUGGGUGUGUCACCAGAACGGGGCGGAUCGUAUCUACAUCAACCACCGGGAACACUAUGUGUGACGGACACGUCCUAAACCUUCUAUGGACCUGUCAAUCAAUCACUCACCCUGCCCCACCCAUCACCAUGCAGGCUCACAGAUGCCAGCCUUUUCAAUGUGAAGAACCCAGGCAACGAAAUAGUUUAUGACUUGACCAAGCCUUCAUAGAUGAGUCUACUCCACAUUUAACAUAAUUUGAGAGCAGCAGUUAUCACAUGUAAGAAGCAAGACUAUUGAGGCCGAAGCAUAAACUGCUGAGUUUCUCUGAGGAACGACAACCCAAACACCCCUCCACUCCCCUUCUCCGAACCACCGCACACACACCUGUUCUGUUCCCAACCACAUCAAUGAACAGAAGAUAACAGCAUAGGGAAGAGCAGGAAGACAGAUUUGGUACAGUACCACAAAGUAACUAUUUAAAAUGGAACACUAAGCUCUGCUGUGUGCUGUAUAGGAGUGGAAUCAUAUGAAAACACCAUACUAAGCUCUAUGUAUAGCAGUUGAAUGUGUUACUAUGUCACUGUGGCUGUGUGAUAAUCCUGUGUACAGUUAUGCUCUUUGAAUUAGUUAGAACUAAUACUUUUUUUUAGGAUUGUGGUAAACACCAGGCAUAUCUUUGUACGGUUCUGGUAAACAUACAGCCAAUUAGGUAGGAUUCUAACUUCAUGGUAUAAGAACAGAAAUAGUAACAUUGUCUGAAGGACCGUGCACCAGGACAUCAGGAUCUGAACAGAGAUGGUAACAUUGUCUGAAGGACCGUGCACCAGAACAUCAGGAUCUGAACAGAGAUGGUAACAUUGUCUGAAGGACCAUGCACCAGGACAUCAGGAUCAAGCAUACCAGAUAGCAACAGUAUACCAGAUAGUAACAUAUAAUGACAUUCGCUGUACUCUAUCAUGUCAUUUAAAUGUUGUGAAAAGAUGAAUGUGGUUUAAUGCUUCGAGAAGUUAACUGAAUCAUAGAAAAAGGAAAUUUUUGCACUUGGAAUUGAAACAUAAAUCAUUCAUACAUCAGUGGAAAAAUCCGAUUUGUGUUAUUUCGCUGCAAUUUCGUAGAGGUCUUUCUAGCGCCAUUUAUAUAUUUGAAGGGGAUCUUCUCAACUGUUGAUGAUUUUGUGUUCUCAUUCUUCCAUUGUGAGUAGAUAAUAUAUAUGCAGUGUUUGUUUUUUACACAUUGGUCAGGGGUAGAGUUUUUUUAAACCAUCAUAUUUAUACAUUAUAGGUAGUCUGUGUACAUGACAACGUUUUUAUAUGGUCAAAUGUUCGGAAGAGCAGUCGCAGCCUUCGAGGCAUCUGCUAAGGACGGUAGCCACACAUAGCAGUGUGUUAAUGAGUUAGGCCUCUGUGCCUCUCCUCUCCUGUCCUGGUGGGGACCAGGGCUCUAGCUGAGCCAACCCACAAUAAGGCCAUUGUUUGUUUCCCU